rnacentral:misc_RNA from 1 species
AAGUCGUAACAAGGUUUCCGUGGGUGAACCUGCGGAAGGAUCAUUUCAUUGUGCUCCCCCAUUCCGUUAGGACGCGGCAAUCCCUGGUAAAUCAUCGCCGAACAGUUUUGAUUCAGGGACCUCUGCAUGGAGUGGGCAGCAGCGCGAGGCAAGUGGCCUGGCAUUCCUCUGCUUGUUGGUGUCUGAAAGUGUCACUAGCUCUGUAAGAAUGGCGCAGUAACGAUCGCUAGAGGCCGACACGGCCGGCGACCAUCACCUUUGCAUGAAAACGGGCCUGCGCUUAAUUGUGCGGCCACCAAACUCGAACAACUGUUAACAAUGGAUAUCUUGGUUCUC